rnacentral:rRNA from 1 species
UACGUAGGGUGCAAGCGUUAAUCGGAAUUACUGGGCGUAAAGCGUGCGCAGGCGGUUAUGUAAGUCAGAUGUGAAAUCCUCGGGCUUAACCUGGGAAUGGCAUUUGGGACUGCAUGGCUAGAGUGUGGCAGAGGGGGGUGGAAUUCCGCGUGUAGCAGUGAAAUGCGUAGAGAUGCGGAGGAACACCGAUGGCGAAGGCAGCCCCCUGGGUUAACACUGACACUCAUGCACGAAAGCGUGGGGAGCAAACAGG